CCCUUAGAUGUUCUGGGCCGCACGCGCGCUACACUGAUGCAUUCAACGAGUCUAAAACCUGGUCUGAGAGGGCUGGGUGAUCUUUUGAAAGUGCAUCGUGAUUGGGAUAGAUGAUUGCAAUUCUUCAUCUUCAACGAGGAAUGCCUAGUAAACGCAAGUCAUCAGCUUGCAUUGAUUACGUCCCUGCCCUUUGUACACACCGCCCGUCGCUCCUACCGAUUGAACGAUCCGAUGAAAACUGUGGAUUGAGAGUCUGAGUAGGUUCGCCUAUCUCAAUUCUCGAGAAGCGGUUUGAAUCUUAUCGUUUAGAGGAAGGAGAAGUCGUAACA
rnacentral:rRNA from 1 species